AAACCGAGCUGCAAGGAUUUCUCCCACCUCCUAAGGGGGAAGAGCACGUGGCCUCUCAAAGUUGUCCCUGGGAACGUCUGUCCUGCGAUCUGCGGGGGGUGUUCCCAACCCAGGGAUGGAACCCGCAUCUCGAAUUCAUCUCCUGCAUUGCAGGUGGACUCUUUACCUCUCAGCCACCAGGGACAGUGAGAAAUCUUCCCCAGCUCUCUGAUGAUGUUUCACCUCCUCAAGAAAGUUUUACCACCUGUGGAUCCUGAGUCAUCCAGGAAAUACUUUUCAAAGACACUAGGACGUUAUCAGUUAAUAAUAACUAAUAACUAAUAGCAACGAU